UACGUAGGUGGCAAGCGUUAUCCGGAUUUACUGGGUGUAAAGGGCGUGUAGGCGGGAAAGCAAGUCAGAUGUGAAAACCAUGGGCUCAACCUGUGGCCUGCAUUUGAAACUGUUUUUCUUGAGUACUGGAGAGGCAGACGGAAUUCCUAGUGUAGCGGUGAAAUGCGUAGAUAUUAGGAGGAAUACCAGUGGCGAAGGCGGUCUGCUGGACAGUAACUGACGCUGAGGCGCGAAAGCGUGGGGAGCAAACAGG
rnacentral:rRNA from 1 species